GCUCAUGACAUAUCAUAGAAACAUCAAGCGGGCAAUAGUUAUUAAGUUACUAUGCUACAACAUGGAUGCGAUUACCAAAAAAAUAAGAAAAAACUUGGUUCUUCCACUCUAUGGUAUUACUGAUAACUUGCAUAUAAAAGUUGUAACUUUGGGGAAUUACUCACUUGUGGAUGCUCUUGAUAGUUUUCUUUGGAUUUCUCCUUGACGACGCCCUAACUUGUGUGGUUCUAGACUUAUGCAGUACCUUGCAACUUACAUGAAUCUGCAUCAAUUGAAGAUGAGAAACUUUAAAUGGGUAUAAAAGUCACUAAAUGCAAGAAAGAAACUGAAUUUUGAUCAAAUCAUUCACAAUAAUUAUAUUCAAAUUCAAGAUUCGAGAACCAAAACAACUCUGAUAAAUUGGAUAUCUCUGAAACGGGCAUAAAAUUUACUAAAAGAAAGAAAAGACCCUAGCUUUGAUCAUCUCAAACACAAUCUUUAUCUUCAAAUUCAAGUUCUAUGACUCAAACAAACAAUUGGGUAUCUCUAAAAGAACUCAAUUUUGAUAAACUCAUUAAUUCUUGAAAACAAACUCGACCACUUUCUAUAAGAAGAAUGCUAGAAUAAAGAAUUACCUGGCAAAAAAUUAAGAGUUGGA
rnacentral:lncRNA from 1 species